rnacentral:misc_RNA from 1 species
UACAGAGGGUGCAAGCGUUAAUCGGAAUUACUGGGCGUAAAGCGCACGUAGGUGGAUAAUUAAGUUAGGUGUGAAAACCCUGGGCUCAACCUAGGAAUGGCAUUUAAUACUGGAUAUCUGGAGUACGAUAGAGGGUAGGGGAAUUUCUGGUGUAGCGGUGAAAUGCGUAGAUAUCAGAAGGAACAUCAGUGGCGAAGGCGCCUACCUGGAUUGAUACUGACACUGAGGAGCGAAAGCAUGGGUAGCAAACAGG